rnacentral:rRNA from 1 species
GAUUAACGCUAGCGGCAGGCAUAAUACAUGCAAGUUGAACGGGAUAAGUUGUAGCAAUACGGCUUUGAGAGUAGCGCACGGGUGCGUAACACGUAUGCAAUCUGCCCCUAUCUGUGGAAUAGCCCCUCGAAAGAGGGAUUAAUACCACAUAACAUAAUGUGUAGGCAUCUAUAUAUUAUCAAAGCUCCGGCGGAUAGGGAUGAGCAUGCGGCUGAUUAGCUAGUUGGUGAGGUAAUGGCUCACCAAGGCUACGAUCAGUAGGGGGUCUGAGAGGAUGUCCCCCCACACUGGUACUGAGACACGGACCAGACUCCUACGGGAGGCAGCAGUAGGGAAUAUUGGUCAAUGGGCGCAAGCCUGAACCAGCCAUGCCGCGUGCAGGAUGAAGGCCCUAUGGGUCGUAAACUGCUUUUGUACGGGAAGAAACCCCACUACGUGUAGUGGGCUGACGGUACCGUGAGAAUAAGGAUCGGCUAACUUCGUGCCAGCCGCCGCGGUAAAAC